GUGAGGGGGUGACUAGUGACAGAGUGAGGGAGCGGGUGACACAGUGACAGAGUGAAGGAGGUGGUGACUGUCACUAGUCACCCCCUUCCCUCCCUCACUCUGUCACUAGUCACCCCUCCCUCUCUCUGUCACUAGUCACACCCUCCCUCACUCUGUCACUAGUCACACCCUUCCUCACUGUCACUAGUCACCCUCUCCCUCUCUCUGUCACUAGUCACACCCUCCCUCUC